rnacentral:misc_RNA from 1 species
UACGUAGGUGGCAAGCGUUAUCCGGAUUUAUUGGGUGUAAAGGGCGUGUAGGCGGGAGCGCAAGUCAGAUGUGAAAACUAUGGGCUUAACCCAUAGCCUGCAUUUGAAACUGUGUUUCUUGAGUGCUGGAGAGGCAAUCGGAAUUCCGUGUGUAGCGGUGGAAUGCGUAGAUAUACGGAGGAACACCAGUGGCGAAGGCGGAUUGCUGGACAGUAACUGACGCUGAGGCGCGAAAGCGUGGGGAGCAAACAGG